GACGUAGGGUCCGAGCGUUGUCCGGAUUUACUGGGCGUAAAGAGCGCGUAGGCGGUCUGUUAAGUGUGGUGUGAAAUCUCCAGGGCUCAACCCGGAAACUGCACCGCAUACUGGCAGACUGGAGGGAUGCAGAGGUGAGUGGAAUUCCUGGUGUACCGGUGAAAUGGGUAGAUAUCAGGAGGAACACCCCGUGGCGAAAGCACCUGCCUGGGCCUCUAUUGACGCUAA
rnacentral:rRNA from 1 species